GGGUCAGCGACUUAUAUUCUGUAGCAAGGUUAACCGAAUAGGGGAGCCGAAGGGAAACCGAGUCUUAACCGGGCGUUAAGUUGCAGGGUAUAGACCCGAAACCCGGUGAUCUAGCCAUGGGCAGGUUGAAGGUUGGGUAACACUAACUGGAGGACCGAACCGACUAAUGUUGAAAAAUUAGCGGAUGACUUGUGGCUGGGGGUGAAAGGCCAAUCAAACCGGGAGAUAGCUGGUUCUCCCCGAAAGCUAUUUAGGUAGCGCCUCGUGAAUUCAUCUCCGGGGGUAGAGCACUGUUUCGGCAAGGGGGUCAUCCCGACUUACCAACCCGAUGCAAACUGCGAAUACCGGAGAAUGUUAUCACGGGAGACACACGGCGGGUGCUAACGUCCGUCGUGAAGAGGGAAACAACCCAGACCGCCAGCUAAGGUCCCAAAGUCAUGGUUAAGUGGGAAACGAUGUGGGAAGGCCCAGACAGCCAGGAUGUUGGCUUAGAAGCAGCCAUCAUUUAAAGAAAGCGUAAUAGCUCACUGGUCGAGUCGGCCUGCGCGGAAGAUGUAACGGGGCUAAACCAUGCACCGAAGCUGCGGCAGCGACACUGUGUGUUGUUGGGUAGGGGAGCGUUCUGUAAGCCUGUGAAGGUGUGCUGUGAGGCAUGCUGGAGGUAUCAGAAGUGCGAAUGCUGACAUAAGUAACGAUAAAGCGGGUGAAAAGCCCGCUCGCCGGAAGACCAAGGGUUCCUGUCCAACGUUAAUCGGGGCAGGGUGAGUCGACCCCUAAGGCGAGGCCGAAAGGCGUAGUCGAUGGGAAACAGGUUAAUAUUCCUGUACUUGGUGUUACUGCGAAGGGGGGACGGAGAAGGCUAUGUUGGCCGGGCGACGGUUGUCCCGGUUUAAGCGUGUAGGCUGGUUUUCCAGGCAAAUCCGGAAAAUCAAGGCUGAGGCGUGAUGACGAGGCACUACGGUGCUGAAGCAACAAAUGCCCUGCUUCCAGGAAAAGCCUCUAAGCAUCAGGUAACAUCAAAUCGUACCCCAAACCGACACAGGUGGUCAGGUAGAGAAUACCAAGGCGCUUGAGAGAACUCGGGUGAAGGAACUAGGCAAAAUGGUGCCGUAACUUCGGGAGAAGGCACGCUGAUAUGUAGGUGAAGUCCCUCGCGGAUGGAGCUGAAAUCAGUCGAAGAUACCAGCUGGCUGCAACUGUUUAUUAAAAACACAGCACUGUGCAAACACGAAAGUGGACGUAUACGGUGUGACGCCUGCCCGGUGCCGGAAGGUUAAUUGAUGGGGUCAGCGCAAGCGAAGCUCUUGAUCGAAGCCCCGGUAAACGGCGGCCGUAACUAUAACGGUCCUAAGGUAGCGAAAUUCCUUGUCGGGUAAGUUCCGACCUGCACGAAUGGCGUAAUGAUGGCCAGGCUGUCUCCACCCGAGACUCAGUGAAAUUGAACUCGCUGUGAAGAUGCAGUGUACCCGCGGCAAGACGGAAAGACCCCGUGAACCUUUACUAUAGCUUGACACUGAACAUUGAGCCUUGAUGUGUAGGAUAGGUGGGAGGCUUUGAAGUGUGGACGCCAGUCUGCAUGGAGCCGACCUUGAAAUACCACCCUUUAAUGUUUGAUGUUCUAACGUGGACCCGUGAUCCGGGUUGCGGACAGUGUCUGGUGGGUAGUUUGACUGGGGCGGUCUCCUCCUAAAGAGUAACGGAGGAGCACGAAGGUUGGCUAAUCCUGGUCGGACAUCAGGAGGUUAGUGCAAUGGCAUAAGCCAGCUUGACUGCGAGCGUGACGGCGCGAGCAGGUGCGAAAGCAGGUCAUAGUGAUCCGGUGGUUCUGAAUGGAAGGGCCAUCGCUCAACGGAUAAAAGGUACUCCGGGGAUAACAGGCUGAUACCGCCCAAGAGUUCAUAUCGACGGCGGUGUUUGGCACCUCGAUGUCGGCUCAUCACAUCCUGGGGCUGAAGUAGGUCCCAAGGGUAUGGCUGUUCGCCAUUUAAAGUGGUACGCGAGCUGGGUUUAGAACGUCGUGAGACAGUUCGGUCCCUAUCUGCCGUGGGCGCUGGAGAACUGAGGGGGGCUGCUCCUAGUACGAGAGGACCGGAGUGGACGCAUCACUGGUGUUCGGGUUGUCAUGCCAAUGGCACUGCCCGGUAGCUAAAUGCGGAAGAGAUAAGUGCUGAAAGCAUCUAAGCACGAAACUUGCCCCGAGAUGAGUUCUCCCUGACCCUUUAAGGGUCCUGAAGGAACGUUGAAGACGACGACGUUGAUAGGCCGGGUGUGUAAGCGCAGCGAUGCGUUGAGCUAACCGGUACUAAUGAACCGUGAGGCUUAACCUUACAACGCCGAAGGUGUUU
rnacentral:rRNA from 1 species